UAUAGGCCCAUAAAGUCUCA
rnacentral:siRNA from 1 species